AAGUUUUAGAUUUUUUGUUAUAAAAUUAGCACGAGUAGUUAAUUCAUCCUAGAGCUUGUACCAGCUCUGGUCUAGCCAACAAUCAGCAUGAGGUGCGAAACCUAGACACGCGUGGGAUUGCCAGCCUCGCCAGAGAGCUACUGCCGACCACCCGGAACGCAGAGGGCGGAUCUCGUGCACGUGUAGGGAGGAGUCGGAGACAGUACCGGCUCUGGAAAGCUCGUGUAGGAGAAAA
rnacentral:lncRNA from 1 species